UUGUACACACCGCCCGUCAAGCCAUGGAAGUUGGGGGUACCUAAAGUAUGUAACCGCAAGGAGCGUCCUAGGGUAAAACCGAUAACUGGGGCUAAGUCGUAACAAGGUAGCCGUACCGGAAGGUGCGGCUGGAAUACCU
rnacentral:rRNA from 6 species